AGGGCCCACCAAGGAGUUAUUGGGAACUGGGUGGCAAUUACCGGUGGUGCAGAUCAUAUUCUGUUGUUCACGAUUCUUGUAAUUAUCAAAAUUGUUCUCAUGACCACCAGAAGGAUUCCCAAUUGCAGCCAUCUAUGAUCUAAAACUUAAUCAAUUUGCUCUAGAAUGUUUUUGGGGAUUUUGUUUCCCUAUUUUUGAGGUUAAGUGAAUUGAAUAGGUUGUGUGUUACCACGAAAAAGUAGAGUCUGUCUGUAAACAAUUUAGCUGACGAGAGAUUGAUAUCAAUAAUUAAAAUGUAUUUCUAUAAAGGAGAAAAAUUAGGAAAGUUGCAAUAAAUUAUUCGUAUAAAUUGGAGUAAAGGAGUCGGUUUCUACAUUUAAGUGGUUAACUAAAGAGGCAUUGGUAAGAAUUUUAUAGGCAUAUACAAAAUUCAGCGAAAUACAUACAAAAAUAAAACAUAGGAGUUUUGCCCCCUCGUCUUUCGGCUUUUUGAUCCUCGUCUCGACCUUCUUAUAGAAAAGAAAAACCAUAAAACCUUGAAAAACUACGAAAACUCCUUGAAAAUAUUCUCCAACCAAAGAACCCAUGAAAAGUACAAUUCAUCUAAAUGCUAAGAUAACAGUCCACAGUGUAUCAAAACCUAACUAAUUAACACCCUUGGCAUAGUAGGAUUCAAGGAAUAAUUGCUCAGACUGAAACAACCCCAUGAUAUAAAAUAACAAUAACUGUCCCAUCUAACUAUUAUAUUUAAUAAAUAUGUUGUAAAUCUCCAAGAGUUAAAAAUAGUAUUUGACUUUUAUCAUAAUCCGUUUUGGAUGUUACUGAAUGUAUAAAGAAUACCUAUAAUUACAUUAAUUGAAUAGAAUUUUAAUAUUCCUGAACAAAAAUUCUGACGCAAAAGUUGGAUUUUUGGUCAUUUCAUGCAUAGUAUCUCUGCUAAUUUGUUUAUUAAUUGUGCAGAUUUUCUAUUUUAUGAAUUAUGGGUAGCAUGUGAUUAUCAGGUCCCUGCUCUGUAAGGUGCUGUUGGAGUCAUUUUUGGUCCACUUGGAUGAGGAAUCAAACCUGGAAUUUGAUACCAAUGGUAGAGAGACAAGUAUAUCAGUAAAGCAGACAACCGAACUAUGGUUAUUGGCAUCAGCACAAUGCUUCUUGCAAUGUGGAGUUCGCAAGUUACACCUAAUGGUUUUUGCAUACAAAACAUACAUAUAUGUAUAUGCAUAUAAGGACUCGUGUAAAACCUUUCGUGUAUGUAUAAUUCUCACCUUAGAUAUAUAGUCCAAGUGCAAAGCUUUUAAGGAAAGUCUAACAUGUAUAUGUUUCAAAAAAGAUAUUUAAAAUUUCAAUCAGUUUUCUAGGAAAAAGAAAUAUAAAUGUCAAAACCAAAAUUUAAAGGCCAGACUUGCAGAAUCAAUCAGCGUUGAGCCCUUGAAUGCUAUAAAUUUCCCUAUAGCUCAAUUAUAAUCCUUUGUGAAGAGUAAACUGCCACUGUUCAUAAUUUAGGAAGGUGAUGUUCAUACGCAAUGUAGCUCGUGGUUUUAACAUUAAAAGAUCCUCCUAAGCAUAAUACAACGGAUUAGCAGUCUGACGCUUUAGUCCACUCAGCUAUCUCUCCCAAUUGAAAAAAGAUAAUUAUAAGACUUUACUACCUCAUAUAAUAAUUGUUGACAGGAGAGCAGAUUCAAAAGGAACUAUCAUUGCACUCCAGUCCAACACUCUCGAAAUUGAGUAAUUACCAAUACGAAUUAAAGCAAGGUCGAUAAGAAUUCAACAUAUUUCCAGAAACAUAUACAGUCAAUGUAGAAAAACAAUAUCCAGGUUUGGUUAUCUUUCUUUACACAAAAAAAAA